rnacentral:rRNA from 1 species
AGAGUUUGAUCCUGGCUCAGGAUGAACGCUAGCGGCAGGCUUAACACAUGCAAAUCGAGGGGUAUAAUUAUCUUGCUAAUUAGAGACCGGCGCACGGGUGCGUAACGCGUAUGCAAUCUACCUUUUACAGCGGGAUAGCCCAGAGAAAUUUGGAUUAAUACCACAUAGUAUUAUGAAUUGGCAUCAUUUUAUAAUUAAAGAUUUAUCGGUAAAAGAUGAGCAUGCGUCCCAUUAGCUAGUUGGUAUGGUAACGGCAUACCAAGGCAACGAUGGGUAGGGGUCCUGAGAGGGAGAUCCCCCACACUGGUACUGAGACACGGACCAGACUCCUACGGGAGGCAGCAGUGAGGAAUAUUGGACAAUGGGCGCAAGCCUGAUCCAGCCAUGCCGCGUGCAGGAUUAAGGUCUUAUGGAUUGUAAACUGCUUUUAUACGAGGAGAAACACUACUUCGUGAAGUAGCUUGACGGUAUCGUAAGAAUAAGGAUCGGCUAACUCCGUGCCAGCAGCCGCGGUAAUACGGAGGAUCCAAGCCGUUAUCCGGAAUCAUUGGRUUU